CUGACUACGGCUGAACUAUUUCCACUUGCCGACAAGUCACACCUCCACGGAAUUAAUUCAUUGAAGACUAAUCAAGUAUUAAAAUACCGUAGGAUAAUAAUCCCUGAUAACCAGCAUGUUCAAUUGAAAAAAUCAACGGCAAUUAUCAACAAUGGAAUCAAUUAUAGAUGCAAAAAUUGGGACCCAGAGAUAAUUGUCUCUCUACCGCGAGAGAUAAACGCGUGAAAAUUGCAUUCAACAUGUGCACACAGGGGCAUCAGUUUUUGCGGCUAACUCGACCACAGGACAAUGGCGCAUAAUAACUGAAAACGAUUUCGAGUCAGAGAAGUGUACGUUUCAAUGUGGGAAAGUACGAUUUUUUUUUUUCAUUUUUUCUUUUUUAUUUUUACGUGAACAUUAUCGUUCACUCCAGAAAUUGAAUUCUCGGGGUUUUCGGUUUUUUAUGGCACGCUUCCCGUGUUUUGUGGCUAAGACUAGUGUUCGUUGAGCUAAUUGUUAUUGAAAUUAACUUAACUAUUAGGUAAGUCUUUUUUUUUAUUGAUUCAUUGAUGUCAUGUGUUUGUCUUCGUUUUUAUUCAAUCAUGAAUUGAAAUUGAGGCGCCGAGGAUUUUUGGUAAGUUCAAAAAUAGGCGAAUGAUUUCGGAGAGGAAUCGGUUCACUGGAAAAAUCGAGGAAAAUUGUAGGAUCUGUAUUUAAUCCAUCCAUAUACGCAUUAAUAAAAUAUAAUUACAUAAUAUGUAAUAAUUCAUUGAAAGUGCACGUUUUUUCGGUGAAGAUAUCAUCGCCAUUUAAUUUCAAAUA